GUCGCUUUGGCCGAGUGGUUAAGGCGUGUGCCUGGGUUCAUACCGCGAGAUUUCGAAUCUCUCAGGCGCG
rfam:Gossypium raimondii chromosome 1, whole genome shotgun sequence.